UCCUACUGCAUCCGGCUCGAAAGUACACAGCAACACUACGCACGCAGCUUUGGAGGCGCGGAGGGGAAAAUGGAUUUAAUUGAUUCGUUACCUCUGUAUCUUUUUUAGCAAGCCCAAUACUAAUGCAAACAGACACAAGAUUUAAAGUGAGGCAGGCCUGUGAUGACCGGUGAUUUGAAAUACUGCAACAUUGAGGAAAAACAUUUCAGCACCUCCCCAUUAAAGAUGAUGGGUUGUAUUUCCAACACAAGCUACUUGGUCCACCUGUGUUCCAGUGAUGGUGACAAGGAAUAAAGCAACAUAUGACUCAUAAAAGUUUGUGGGAUCAUCCUUCCUGAGUAUGGAGCAACAUGGUAUAACUAAUGAAACUGACUGUUCUGAAAAGCUAUCCACAAACUUGAAAAAUUCCUCAUUUGUCCAGCAAAGUAAAUUAAUUCACCGGAUGAUAGACAUUAAUUAAUGGAUCACGAUUGACCACGAAUGACUGAAACUGUGGAAAGCAAAACCUUGCAUAAGGAGGGAACCAUUGGAACUGUCUACAGACUUUCAAAGAGCAGAUUCAUGAAAAUGGCACACCGUUUAUUAGCUCUUGUAAGAUGAUGUUUGUUUUAAUAAUUUUGGAAUGGGAAUGUAUUGGAGAUGUUGAUAAAUGCAUAGCAGGGUUCAGAUGAAAAAAAUGAGUCAUGGUGUUUGAGAGAAGCUCUCUUUUAGUUGUAAAGUCCUCUAGUCUCAGAAUCCUGGUUUUCUUUCUACACAACUCAUAAUUUUCUAUCUGCAUGUAUAUACUUCUAUAUCAUCCAAAGUUUCAUUAUAGCUGUCCACUUUCAACUUUGUCCCAACUCUCAAUUCUUUUAUUCUCUUUGGCUAUCUUGUUUGAGCUGAAAUUCUUCUAUUCAUUGCCUUCUCACCAUCCAGCUUCCUUCAUCCUGGUUUGGAGGGCUCUCUCCAUAAUCUACAUAUUACUACAGUACAUAUUACUGUAAUAGAUUAAUGCUUUACCCAUGAAGGAUAUGGGCAUACUUACCUUGAAGAUUAAUAAUAAAAAUGUAAGAAUUGAAACCUACAUAGCUUAUACUCAGAAAUGACGAUCCAGGCUACUUAUAAUUAAGGAGACGUACUAUUUGCAUACUAGCUAUGUGGACUAUUUAAACUAAUCUCAGUAUUCUUUAUAAUUACGGUUAAAAUUGAGAAAUCAGGUAUAAAAAAUAAUAGUUCUGAACUAAUACAUUUUUCAGGGAAUUUCAAAAUUGAUGUCAAGAACAAUGAAUGGUGUUAAAUGUUGAUUCAUUUUCAUAAUAGACUUACAUUUAUUGAGUAUCCCAAAUAAUUCAUAAUUAGAUGAAGCAUAGCUUAUUUUUAAAAAUAAUCACUCUCACAAAUAAUCAAACUAUUAAUUUAUCUCUGAUGUUAAAAAUUUAUUUCUGAAAAUGUCUUAAUGAUCUGGAUAUGUAAACAAAAUUAUAAUUAUUCUGUAAUUCUAAAGCUAUUUGCUUUAACCUCUUCAGUAACAGUUGGUAUUUUCCAGGAAAUCUAAAGGACACAUGCUUUUCUGGAUUUCUUCCAAAGCAGUACAUUAAAUGACCUUGAUUGUGCUUAGAAUUUCAAUUUGAAACCCCUAAGCUUGGAUGUGAAUUCCAGUUUGAGGUUUUCGUGGACUUUCUACUGAGGCAAUAUGUGUAAAAACACAAAACAAAUUGUGGCAAAAUAAGCCUCUAAAUGACAUUUGAAGAGAGUUGAAAAAAUAAAAUAAAAAAUUGGACAUUCGGUAACAUGAUU